rnacentral:rRNA from 1 species
UGGGGAAUUUUGGACAAUGGGCGAAAGCCUGAUCCAGCAAUGCCGCGUGUGUGAAGAAGGCCCUCGGGUUGUAAAGCACUUUUGUCCGGAAAGAAAUCCUUGGCUCUAAUACAGUCGGGGGAUGACGGUACCGGAAGAAUAAGCACCGGCUAACUACGUGCCAGCAGCCGCGGUAAUACGUAGGGUGCAAGCGUUAAUCGGAAUUACUGGGCGUAAGCGUGCGCAGGCGGUUUGCUAAGACCGAUGUGAAAUCCCCGGGCUCAACCUGGGAACUGCAUUGGUGACUGGCAGGCUAGAGUAUGGCAGAGGGGGGUAGAAUUCCACGUGUAGCAGUGAAAUGCGUAGAGAUGUGGAGGAAUACCGAUGGCGAAGGCAGCCCCCUGGGCCAAUACUGACGCUCAUGCACGAAAGCGUGGGGAGCAAACAGGAUUAGAUACCCUGGUAGUCCACGCCCUAAACGAUGUCAACUAGUUGUGGGGAUUCAUUUCCUUAGUAACGUAGCUAACGCGUGAAGUUGACCGCCUGGGGAGUACGGUCGCAAGAUUAAAACUCAAUGAAUUGACGGGGUCAUAGCUGUUUCCU